rnacentral:rRNA from 1 species
GAUGAACGCUGGCGGCGUGCCUAAUACAUGCCAGUCGAGCGAACAGACGAGGAGCUUGCUCCUCUGACGUUAGCGGCGGACGGGUGAGUAACACGUGGAUAACCUACCUAUAAGACUGGGAUAACUUCGGGAAACCGGAGCUAAUACCGGAUAAUAUAUUGAACCGCAUGGUUCAAUAGUGAAAGACGGUUUUGCUGUCACUUAUAGAUGGAUCCGCGCCGCAUUAGCUAGUUGGUAAGGUAACGGCUUACCAAGGCAACGAUGCGUAGCCGACCUGAGAGGGUGAUCGGCCACACUGGAACUGAGACACGGUCCAGACUCCUACGGGAGGCAGCAGUAGGGAAUCUUCCGCAAUGGGCGAAAGCCUGACGGAGCAACGCCGCGUGAGUGAUGAAGGUCUUCGGAUCGUAAAACUCUGUUAUGAGGGAAGAACAAAUGUGUAAGUAACUAUGCACGUCUUGACGGUACCUAAUCAGAAAGCCACGGCUAACUACGU